rnacentral:lncRNA from 1 species
AAGGGAGAAGCCUUUUUAAGGAUUAGUCCUCAUGCCUUACGUGGAAUCCGUGGUGGCCACAGGCCCCAAUUCAAACCAAAAUGAUAAGAGUAGGCUUAGAAAUAAAGCCUUUGCUGUCCCCUGCCCCAGUAAACGUUACCAGUGAAGCUGAAGGAAGGACUGCCUGAGACUCUUCCCUCCACAUUCUGAACCAUUCGAAGAGGAAUCCUUAAUCAGGACAAAGGGAAAACCUCAGGGAAUUAGGUAGGCAUCAUCAUCCAAUUCAUAAUAAAAAGCAAUACUUUGGUGGGUCACCUUCUAAAUAGAAAAUAGGAAUAUUCACCAGAGCCAGUCUGUCACCUCAGGGUCCCUGCGGAUCUGCUGACUUUAGCUGUUUCACACUCAUGGUAGAGGAUUGGGCUUGGAGCAAGUGACAGCUCCGACUGGGUGGGUCAUCAUAGAAAACUCAGACUGUCACUGCUGAUGUCACAAUGUCCUACUGUCCCAAAGUGAACCUGCCUCUCUGCCCAAGUAGGCUCAGUCCUUCUAGAUGAGACCCCCGUCUGCUCAGGUAUCCAUCGUGAACAACUCUUUCUCAGUUUCAGUGGAUGAAUCCAAUGUGGAGACCAAAACCGCUGAAAGGAGUCCACAGAGCAAGUCUGAUGGCCCUGCUUCCUUGGGCAUAUUCUACCAGACUGCCACCAGAAGUUGUGGCCCAGAUUUACAGUGG